GGAAGUAUAGCUCAGCAAUAAAGCGUGUGCUUAGCAUGCAUGGGGUCCUGGGUUCACCCUCUAGUACCUCCA
rnacentral:tRNA from 1 species